GCUUCCUUGGUGUAGUUGGUUAUCACGUGGGUCUCAUAUCUCCAAAUAUGAUCUAGCUUCGCCUAGAGUAAUCCCAAGGCCGCCAGUUCGAGUCUGGCAGGGAGCA